AUUUGUCAUGUAUAAAUAUAAUAGUGUAUAAACAAUUUAAGUAUUUAUACACGAAAGAGGUAACCUUUGACAGGACACCUUACGUGCUAGAAAGGGUAG